UACAGAGGUGGCAAGCGUUGUUCGGAAUUACUGGGCGUAAAGGGCGCGUAGGCGGCCUACUAAGUCAGACGUGAAAUCCCCAGGCUUAACUUGGGAACUGCGUCUGAUACUGGAAGGCUUGAGUGCGGGAGAGGGAUGUGGAAUUCCAGGUGUAGCGGUGAAAUUCGUAGAUAUUCGCAAGAACACCAGUGGCGAAGGCGGCUCACUGGCCCGAUACUGACGCUGAGGCACGAAAGCGUGGGGAGCAAACAGG
rnacentral:rRNA from 1 species